rnacentral:lncRNA from 1 species
UCGCUCUCCCCAUCUCCCGGCCCCUCCUCCCCUGUCGCGAAGCAGGCGCCGCUCCCCGUGACGGAGGCGCAGCGUGCUGGUUCGGCAACCUCCACUGCCUCUUCACCAGUCACCACCCUCCGGCAUGGCUUCCUCGGCGACCCGAUCUACCACAACGUGGAACAGCUGGCCCCUCCACGCGUGUCUGCACCCAUGGAUCUCUAUGCGCGACGGCGGCUCCCGUCGAUGGAACGCGGCGGCCAAGCGAGGGCCCAGCGCGACUACCCUUCCCCCUCCACGACGGUAACACCCUCCCAAAGUGGCCACCUCAUCUGGAGCGGCCUGCCGGCGAUGGCGUCAGUUCCGGGCAGCAUGCAACGUUGAGAACCCAACCAGGUCUGCGCACGGGGGACCAGUUCGUGCUAUCCCACCGAUUAGGCUGCAAGCGGUUCUGGUAAGCCUAAUCUAUCUGAUUUGUUUGUUUCAUCCGAUUUGGCUGCGUAGUAUAGGAAUUGAAGCUGAAGUCAGAUUAGGGAUUAGGCGAAUUAAUCCCCCGGCCCUCUCCCUGUUCAAGCAGUUAGAUUUGAUGAAUUUCACCAUCACUUGCUUUUUGUUUGCGGCAAGUCAAAUCGAUCUGAUCCAUAUCAUAUAAAAUUUAUUCCUCUAGCUUAUUAGCAGCAGAUUCCCGUUGGAUUAGAUUUAUUCCUUCUCUGUACACUCCAUUUUUAGUGCUUUUUCUGUUGGUUUGAUUUCCUGCGAGAAGCGAUUUGGUAAUUGGUAUCUACUUGUAUCCAUAUCAUAUAAAUUUGAGUCCGGCAACAGGUUAUGUUUUCGUUUUGAUUCACUUGGCUCUAGGUAUUGGCUUCACGUGUUCUUUUAGCUGCGCCAAACCAAUGUUUUUGAACGAAAUUGUAACUUAAAUUACUCUAUAGUCAAUUCUUACAUAAACACUACCAAUUUUC